rnacentral:rRNA from 1 species
AUUGAACGCUGGCGGCAGGCCUAACACAUGCAAGUCGAGCGGAGCGGCGAACGGGUGAGUAACGCGUGCGUAACUGCCCCCCUCUCUGGGAUAACAGUUGGAAACGGCUGCUAAUACCGGAUAGUGGGGGAUGAAUCGCGUCCUAUCAGCGUGUUGGUGGGGGAGUGGCCUACCAAGGCGACGACGGGGAGCCGGCCUGAGAGGGCGACCGGCCACAUUGGGCUGAGAUACGGCCCAAACUCCGACAGGAGGCAGCAGGGGGGAAUCUUGUACAAUGGGGCAAACCCGGAUGCAGAAACGCCGCGUGCGGGAUGACGGCCUUCGGGUUGUAAACCGCUUUCAGCCAUGACGCGGUAGUGGCAGAAGAAGCACCGGCUAACUACGUGCCAGCAGCCGCGGUAAUAC